UAGGAAAUAAUAUAGAGGAAGUAUGAAGGGCUUUGAUUCCUUAUGGGUAGGUUCAAGUCCUACUUUCCUAA
rnacentral:tRNA from 1 species